CUCUCCCUCUGUCGGCAGGCCUAACACAUGCAAGUCGAACGAACCUUUCGGGGUUAGUGGCGGACGGGUGAGUAACACGUGGGAACGUGCCUUUAGGUUCGGAAUAACUCAGGGAAACUUGUGCUAAUACCGAAUGUGCCCUUCGGGGGAAAGAUUUAUCGCCUUUAGAGCGGCCCGCGUCUGAUUAGCUAGUUGGUUGAGGUAAUGGCUCACCAAGGCGACGAUCAGUAGCUGGUCUGAGAGGAUGAUCAGCCACAUUGGGACUGAGACACGGCCCAAACUCCUACGGGAGGCAGCAGUGGGGAAUCUUGCGCAAUGGGCGAAAGCCUGACGCAGCCAUGCCGCGUGAAUGAUGAAGGUCUUAGGAUUGUAAAAUUCUUUCACCGGGGACGAUAAUGACGGUACCCGGAGAAGAAGCCCCGGCUAACUUCGUG
rnacentral:rRNA from 1 species